rnacentral:rRNA from 1 species
GAUGAACGCUGGCGGCGUGCCUAAUACAUGCAAGUCGAGCGAACGGACGAGAAGCUUGCUUCUCUGAUGUUAGCGGCGGACGGGUGAGUAACACGUGGAUAACCUACCUAUAAGACUGGGAUAACUUCGGGAAACCGGAGCUAAUACCGGAUAAUAUUUUGAACCGCAUGGUUCAAAAGUGAAAGACGGUCUUGCUGUCACUUAUAGAUGGAUCCGCGCUGCAUUAGCUAGUUGGUAAGGUAACGGCUUAACAAGGCAACGAUGCAUAGCCGACCUGAGAGGGUGAUCGGCCACACUGGAACUGAGACACGGUCCAGACUCCUACGGGAGGCAGCAGUAGGGAAUCUUCCGCAAUGGGCGAAAGCCUGACGGAGCAACGCCGCGUGAGUGAUGAAGGUCUUCGGAUUGUAAAACUCUGUUAUUAGGGAAGAACAUAUGUGUAAGUAACUGUGCACAUCUUGACGGUACCUAAUCAGAAAGCCACGGCUAACUACGUG